ensembl:lncRNA
UGGAGCCGAGGGCCACGGCGGAGGUGGCGGUGGUGGAUGGAGCCGCGGGCCCGGCGGAUGUGGCCUCGGUGGUGGCGGGCGCGGAGCUGGGGGCUCCCGUCCCGACCGAGGAGGGAGGGAGAGUCGUGGAUGUGUGCGGCGCGGCGGAGGCCGGGAGGGGUGAGGUGACUGCGGAAGUGAGGGUGCUCGCGCCGGGGUAGAUGGUGGAAGAGGUGAGGGCCGGAGCGCUGGGCCGUGCGGUGGGCAUGGGUGUGGUCACCAGGAGGGUGCUAGCAGCCCCGGUGGUGUGCGCGGCGGCGGCAGAGGGCAGAGGGGCCGUGAGGGAGGUGGCCGGGGCUGCGGUGUCCCUGGGAGUGGCGAGCUGCGUGGUGGAGCCGGUGGGCGUGCUGGCGGGAGGCGAGGGGCCGGCCGUGGUGUGGGUGGUGGGGAGUGUUGUCAUGUCGGUGGGCAGAGGGCUGGUGUGCGGGGUGGAGGCGGGAGGCGAGGGGCCGGCAGUGGUGUGGGUGGUGGGGAGUGUGGUCAUGUCGGUGGGCAGAGGGCUGGUGUGCGGGGUGGAGGCGGAGGCGGGCUCUGGGCUGGGGGCAGGUGGAGGGGAGCGAGGCACCCCCGUGGACGCGGUGGGGCUACUGGUGGCCACGGGAGUGGAGGUGGUGGACGCGGGAGCAUAGAGUGUGCUGCUGGGCGUGGCGGAGGAUGUGACUGACGGCGGAGAGGGCACCCCCGUGGCGACAGGCUGGCUAGCGGUGUCACUGGGAGGAGUCCCCGUGGUGGUGGGGUGCGGGGGCGGCACACUGGCGCUCGGGGCAGGUGGGCUGGCACCCUCGGCCGGAGUGGUACUGGCCCUGGUGCUGCCGGGGGCCGGGGAGGAGGCGCCUAGCGAUGUGGCGGGAACGGCGCUGGAGCGGAAGGGAGUCGCCGUGCUGCGGGGAGUGGUGAAGAUGGAGGUGGCGGCCGGCGUGCUGGCCGAGGUUGCCUGGACAGGGAAGGUGCUGUGUGUGCGGGGGGUGGUGGGGCCGGAGGAGAUGAUCCCGGUGGUGGGGGUGGCCGCGGCCGCGGGCGUGGCCGAGGCCGCGGCCGCGGGGCUGGGGGUGGGUGUGGCUGAGGGGCUGGCCAGAGCGAGUGUGGAGCCGAGGGCCACGGCGGAGGUGGCGGUGGUGGAUGGAGCCGCGGGCCCGGCGGAUGUGGCCUCGGUGGUGGCGGGCGCGGAGCUGGGGGCUCCCGUCCCGACCGAGGAGGGAGGGAGAGUCGGGGAUGUGUGCGGCGCGGCGGAGGCCGGGAGGGGUGAGGUGACUGCGGAAGUGAGGGUGCUCGCGCCGGGGUAGAUGGUGGAAGAGGUGAGGGCCGGAGCGCUGGGCCGUGCGGUGGGCAUGGGUGUGGUCACCAGGAGGGUGCUAGCAGCCCCGGUGGUGUGCGCGGCGGCGGCAGAGGGCAGAGGGGCCGUGAGGGAGGUGGCCGGGGCUGCGGUGUCCCUGGGAGUGGCGAGCUGCGUGGUGGAGCCGGUGGGCGUGCUGGCGGGAGGCGAGGGGCCGGCAGUGGUGUGGGUGGUGGGGAGUGUGGUCAUGUCGGUGGGCAGAGGGCUGGUGUGCGGGGUGGAGGCGGAGGCGGGCUCUGGGCUGGGGGCAGGUGGAGGGGAGCGAGGCACCCCCGUGGACGCGGUGGGGCUACUGG